rnacentral:misc_RNA from 1 species
CGCCUUUGUUUUGAUUAGACGCACAUCGGUGAAGGUGAGACUGAUUUAAACAUAUUCACAACUCGAUUGAGCAAUAGUUAGGCAAAUCUUUCAACAAAUUGUAUUUGAAAGAUGGCGCUUGGUAUCGCCGUUUUGUUCUUGACUGCGGUUGCGCACUCAGCAUUGGGUCGAGAGCCUUUGCCAGAUAGAGAAACUCUCACCAAACUCCUCGAUGAAAUAGACAAUGCAGCGGUUUCUAUGGCACCUUGUGGGAAUCCUGCCCCGGGCCUGCUGAAGAUACGUCACGGGUAUGAUUUGGGAUACAUGGACCAAUUACCGCUGUUUGUUGGAGAAAAUGACGGAACUAAAAGAGUCGCCUUGGAUUUCACCUGUACUGAAGGCAAAAAAUGGCAGAAUCCUUACAAUGGCAUCCAGUACGACCUACCGGAUCAGAUCACAAACAUGGUUAGCUUGCCCAGAGGUAUAAUGCAGUUUGACACUUACCUCUGGAAGGACUACAACGAAAUCAAACGUGAUUGGUCGUCAAAUACUGGUUUAGACAUAAUGGACGGUGCAUUUGGGUUCAGUUCCUCAUAUAGCAGGAUGCAUCACUCCAUAACAGCACAGAAGAAGUUUGUAGAAGAUGUCACCAGUUUUGUAUCUGGAUUCAGAGCGGACUACAAACCACCAUGGGAACUUAAGCUUAACGCUGGUGCUCAAGCAUUCAUCGACAGAUUCCUUCCUAACACAUAUGAAGAGGAUAUGGACGCUUGGGAUGAAUUUAUCAACUAUUAUGGAACUCAUUACUACGAGCAAGGCAACUUUGGAGGCUUGUUAAAGAUGACGAUGGAGACAGAGAAAGAGCUCGUGUUCCAAAUGGGAGAAACGACAACCAAGCAAAAUGCUGAGGCAUGGUUCAAGUUGUGGAUUGGAGUUCUCGGCGCUCACACUGACACAACAGUGAGAGUUGAUGCCAGAUUCAGAAACAGAACGAGUGUUACACAAAGAUAUUUCGGCGGUCAGGGGAAUUUACUUGACCGUCAGUUCUACAGUAAAUGGGUGCCAACAAUUGCUACGAAUCCUUGGUUGUUUGCUGGUGACCUCAAGCCUUUGUCUCUUAUGUUCCCACAAGCCAAGGCUGCCGGUAUGAACCGAGCUACACAGGUAGCCUUGAAUAAAGCCAGAGUAAACGAAAUGAAAACUGCCAUCAAUGCUUACAUCGAGGAUCUACAAAAUAUGGGAUUUACUGGACUUUGGUCAUUUUACUGCAAUGGGACACGACCAGAUGCUCAAUGUGAUAUAUUGGAUAUGAUAAUAAUAACGGUUGGAUGUAGGGUUCACGGUUGUAGAUGGUCUAACUGGCCCGAUCGCCGAGAUCAAUAUGUCCGUGAAGCUCAAGCUAUUCUCCCUAGAAUAACAGCAGAGGAGGCAAGGAAGGGUCGCAAUGAUGCUGGUGUUGCUACCUUGGGACGUCGUGUGCGAUCUAUUCUGUUGAAGAUGAAUACAAGAUCUCCGUAUGACACCAAAACGCUCAUGCGAACUACACAAGUCUGUUACUGUCCCCGCGGAUCCAGAUGCCGCUGUGGAGUCAAUGCACCUGGUGCAACUGUUAAAGCACCCAGACCAUUUUUCACCAAUUGGCCAGCAAGAUAAAAAAAAAACAGACCAUAAAACACAGUAAUAAGCAAACAGUGCUACGGUAUAUUUGUUCCUUGGUUACUAAAAUAAAGUUGAAUUAAGCAUUAAAUUGAUUUUGUUUUCACACUCUUCUUGUACAUAUUUUGUGUAUGAACAUAAUUUUCGUAUGUGAUGUCGAAGGGUUUAGAAAUGAAAAGGGGUUUCCAUAGGUGACCAUCAAAUUGCAAUUAAUGAGUUGAUAUACAUAUCCCACACACUAAUUAGUCACAAACUUUAAAUCAUCAUGAAAUUUCAUCUGGACAAACUAGAAG